AAACACCGAGGAGACCGAAGAAUGUGCGCUCUGAAUCCGGACAUCAUGUUUUCUGCCUCCACACGAAGGAGCCCCUGAGCAAGGCAGGACUGAGACAGCAGCUCCUGUGUGAAUAUUAUGUAUGGGUGGUUCCUCCUUUAAAAAAAUCUUUUUCUGGAAAAAGAAGAAGAAAUCUCCUUUGAAGAGAGCCAUGAAUCAACUGAAGGGGGCGCUACCCAAUAAGAAACGCAAGCAGCUGAAUAAGCAACUGGAUAAACUGAGUCUGGAUAAACGGAGGAGGGAAAAACAUUCCAAGAAGAGGUUCUCACUGACAACAGACAAGAAAGUGCCGAUAUCACUGAAAAGACUUUCUCUUGGUAACAUACGGAAGGAGUCGAUUCAAAACGCUUCAGUGGAAGGGAAGCAGAAGAACAAAGGAGGGCUGGUAAGAGUCGGAGAGCAGAUUAAAAAGAAAUUUUCUCAAUAACACAAAAAAGGGAUUGGCGCUCAACCAGAGCCUGUUCCUCCCUCUGUGAACCUGAGGGAAGAAAACGAGGCAAAACUAUCCAAGAAGAAAUUCCCUGAUAUCAUGAGAUCCCUUCGUCCAACUGGAUCCAAAGCAAACGGACAACGACCUUGAGUUUGGCAGAAAGACUGAAGAAAACAUGUCAGUAAGGAGAGCGAGAAAGAUACACAAAGGUUUUUUUUUAAUGGCAUCACAGACUUAUGAGAGCAGAUGAUCACAGAGAGACACAAAACAUGAUGUUACAUCCAAAAAAGUUCCUUCCCUUUAACAUUUUGAUGUCAGUUUUACUUGAUAUUUACAAUAAACCAGCCAAAACUUCA